CCUGACUGCUAUCGGAUUGAUACUAAGCCAUGCGAGUCUUUGCAGUAAUGCAAGGCAUACGGCUCAGUAACACGUAGUCAACUUACCCUAUGGACGAGGAUAAUCUCGGGAAACUGAGCAUAAUACUCGAUAGAUCAUAAUGCCUGGAAUGGUUUAUGGUUGAAAUGAUUCGUCGCCAUAGGAUGGGACUGCGGCCUAUCAGCUUGUUGGUGAGGUAAUGGCCCACCAAGGCGAUUACAGGUACGGGCUCUGAGAGGAGAAGCCCGGAGAUGGGUACUGAGACAAGGACCCAGGCCCUAUGGGGCGCAGCAGGCGAGAAAACUUUGCAAUGUGCGAAAGCACGACAAGGUUAAUCCGAGUGAUUUCUGCUAAAGAAAUCUUUUGCAAGUCAUAAAACCACUAGUGAAUAAGGGGUGGGCAAGUUCUGGUGUCAGCCGCCGCGGUAAAACCAGCACCUCAAGUGGUCAGGAGGAUUAUUGGGCCUAAAGCAUCCGUAGCCGGCUCUGUAAGUUUUCGGUUAAAUCCAUGUGCUCAACGCAUGGGCUGCCGAAAAUACUGCAUAGCUAGGGAGUGGGAGAGGUAGACGGUACUCAGUAGGAAGGGGUAAAAUCCUUUGAUCUAUUGAUGACCACCUGUGGCGAAGGCGGUCUACCAGAACACGUUCGACGGUGAGGGAUGAAAGCUGGGGGAGCAAACCGGAUUAGAUACCCGGGUAGUCCCAGCUGUAAACGAUGCAGACUCGGUGAUGCAUUGGCAUAUAGCCAGUGCAGUGUCGCAGGGAAGCCGUUAAGUCUGCCGCCUGGGAAGUACGUACGCAAGUAUGAAACUUAAAGGAAUUGGCGGGGGAGCACCACAAGGGGUGAAGCCUGCGGUUC
rnacentral:rRNA from 1 species